UAAGGAAUAUUGGUCAAUGGACGGAAGUCUGAACCAGCCAUGCCGCGUGCAGGAAGACGGCCCUACGGGUUGUAAACUGCUUUUGCAGGGGAAUAAACCUUCGUAUGUAUACGAAGCUGAAUGUACUCUGAGAAUAAGGAUCGGCUAACUCCGUGCCAGCAGCCGCGGUAAUACGGAGGAUCCAAGCGUUAUCCGGAUUUAUUGGGUUUAAAGGGUGCGUAGGCGGCUUUUUAAGUCAGGGGUGAAAGACGGUAGCUUAACUAUCGCAGUGCCCUUGAUACUGAAGAGCUUGAAUGUAGUUGAGGUAGGCGGAAUGUGACAAGUAGCGGUGAAAUGCAUAGAUAUGUCACAGAACACCAAUUGCGAAGGCAGCUUACUAAGCUAUGAUUGACGCUGAGGCACGAAAGCGUGGGGAUCAAACA
rnacentral:rRNA from 1 species